rnacentral:rRNA from 1 species
UUCCGGUUGAUCCCGCCGGACCCUACUGCUAUCGGGGUGGGACUAAGACAUGCGCGUCGAGCGUCUCCAGCUAUGGUGAGACGCGGCAGACGGCUCAGUAACACGUGGCUAACCUACCCUCAGGACGGGGACAAACCCGGGAAACUGGGGCUAAUACCCGAUAGGCGAGGGCGCCUGGAAUGGUUCUUCACCCAAAGGGCUUUGGAAGCAUGCUUUUCAAAGUCGCCUGGGGAUGGGGCCGCGUCCGAUCAGGUUGUUGGUGAGGUAACGGCUCACCAAGCCUAUAACCGGUACGGGCCGUGAGAGCGGUAGCCCGGAGAUGGGCACUGAGACAAGGGCCCAGGCCCCACGGGGCGCAGCAGUCGCGAAAACUCCGCAAUGCACGAAAGUGUGACGGGGCUACCCCGAGUGCCGUCCGCUGAGGAUGGCUUUUCCUCGGUGUAACUAGCCGGGGGAAUAAGGAGAGGGCAAGACUGGUGUCAGCCGCCGCGGUAAUACCAGCUCUCCGAGUGGUAGGGAUGAUUAUUGGGCUUAAAGCGUCCGUAGCCGGCUUAGCAAGUCUCCUGUUAAAUUCAGCGACCUAAUCGUUGAGCCGCGGGAGAUACUACUAGGCUAGGAGGCGGGAGAGGUCGACGGUAUUUCCGGGGUAGGGGUGAAAUCCUAUAAUCCCGGGAGGACCACCAGUGGCGAAGGCUGUCGACUAGAACGCGCUCGACGGUGAGGGACGAAAGCUGGGGGAGCAAACCGGAUUAGAUACCCGGGUAGUCCCAGCCGUAAACGAUGCGGGCUAUGUGUUGGGGUGGCUACGUGCCACUUCAGUGCCGCAGGGAAGCCAUUAAGCCCGCCGCCUGGGGAGUACGGCCGCAAGGCUGAAACUUAAAGGAAUUGGCGGGGGAGCACCACAAGGCGUGAAGCUUGCGGUUCAAUUGGAGUCAACGCCGGGAAUCACUAGUGCGGGCCGCCUGCAGUCGACCAUAUGGGAGAGCUCCCAACGCGUUGGAUGCAUAGCUUGAGUAUUCUAUAGUGUCACCCUAAAAUAGCUUGG